rnacentral:tRNA from 1 species
UUUCUAAUAUGGCAGAUUAGGGCAAUGAAUUUAAGCUUCAUAUAUAAAGUAUUUAACUUUUAUUAGAAUUCU